rnacentral:rRNA from 1 species
CUACGAAUGGGCGGCACAAUGGGUUGGCCACCGGGUGACCGGGAGCUAAUCCCCAAAACCGCCCUCAGUUCGGAUCGCAGGCUGAAACCCGCCUGCGUGAAGUCGGAGUUGCUAGUAAACGCGUGUCAGCAUAGCGCCGUUGAACUACGUUCUCGGGCCUU